rnacentral:rRNA from 1 species
ACAUGCAAGUCGAACGGAAAGGCCCUUUCGGGGGUACUCGAGUGGCGAACGGGUGAGUAACACGUGGGUGAUCUGCCCUGCACUCUGGGAUAAGCCUGGGAAACUGGGUCUAAUACCGGAUAGGACCAUGGGAUGCAUGUUCUGUGGUGGAAAGCUUUUGCGGUGUGGGAUGGGCCCGCGGCCUAUCAGCUUGUUGGUGGGGUGAUGGCCUACCAAGGCGACGACGGGUAGCCGGCCUGAGAGGGUGUCCGGCCACACUGGGACUGAGAUACGGCCCAGACUCCUACGGGAGGCAGCAGUGGGGAAUAUUGCACAAUGGGCGCAAGCCUGAUGCAGCGACGCCGAGUGGGGGAUGACGGCCUUCGGGUUGUAAACCUCUUUCAGUAUCGGCGAAGCUCCGUGGUUUUCUGCGGGGUGACCGGUAAGGUACAGAAGAAGCACCGGCCAACUACGUGCCAGCAGCCGCGGUAAUACGUAGGGUGCGAGCGUUGUCCG